rnacentral:rRNA from 1 species
GAUGAACGCUGGCGGCGUGCCUAAUACAUGCAAGUCGAGCGAACGGACGAGAAGCUUGCUUCUCUGAUGUUAGCGGCGGACGGGUGAGUAACACGUGGAUAACCUACCUAUAAGACUGGGAUAACUUCGGGAAACCGGAGCUAAUACCGGAUAAUAUUUUGAACCGCAUGGUUCAAAAGUGAAAGACGGUCUUGCUGUCACUUAUAGAUGGAUCCGCGCUGCAUUAGCUAGUUGGUAAGGUAACGGCUUACCAAGGCAACGAUGCAUAGCCGACCUGAGAGGGUGAUCGGCCACACUGGAACUGAGACACGGUCCAGACUCCUACGGGAGGCAGCAGUAGGGAAUCUUCCGCAAUGGGCGAAAGCCUGACGGAGCAACGCCGCGUGAGUGAUGAAGGUCUUCGGAUCGUAAAACUCUGUUAUUAGGGAAGAACAUAUGUGUAAGUAACUGUGCACAUCUUGACGGUACCUAAUCAGAAAGCCACGGCUAACUACGUGCCAGCAGCCGCGGUAAUACGUAGGUGGCAAGCGUUAUCCGGAAUUAUUGGGCGUAAAGCGCGCGUAGGCGGUUUUUUAAGUCUGAUGUGAAAGCCCACGGCUCAACCGUGGAGGGUCAUUGGAAACUGGAAAACUUGAGUGCAGAAGAGGAAAGUGGAAUUCCAUGUGUAGCGGUGAAAUGCGCAGGGAUAUGGAGGAACACCAGUGGCGAAGGCGACUUUCUGGUCUGUAACUGACGCUGAUGUGCGAAAGCGUGGGGAUCAAACAGGAUUAGAUACCCUGGUAGUCCACGCCGUAAACGAUGAGUGCUAAGUGUUAGGGGGUUUCCGCCCCUUAGUGCUGCAGCUAACGCAUUAAGCACUCCGCCUGGGGAGUACGACCGCAAGGUUGAAACUCAAAGGAAUUGACGGGGACCCGCACAAGCGGUGGGGCAUGUGGUUUAAUUCGAAGCAACGCGAAGAACCUUACCAAAUCUUGACAUCCUUUGACAACUCUAGAGAUAGAGCCUUCCCCUUCGGGGGACAAAGUGACAGGUGGUGCAUGGUUGUCGUCAGCUCGUGUCGUGAGAUGUUGGGUUAAGUCCCGCAACGAGCGCAACCCUUAAGCUUAGUUGCCAUCAUUAAGUUGGGCACUCUAAGUUGACUGCCGGUGACAAACCGGAGGAAGGUGGGGAUGACGUCAAAUCAUCAUGCCCCUUAUGAUUUGGGCUACACACGUGCUACAAUGGACAAUACAAAGGGCAGCGAAACCGCGAGGUCAAGCAAAUCCCAUAAAGUUGUUCUCAGUUCGGAUUGUAGUCUGCAACUCGACUACAUGAAGCUGGAAUCGCUAGUAAUCGUAGAUCAGCAUGCUACGGUGAAUACGUUCCCGGGUCU